ensembl:lncRNA
CCCUGUCUUACAGCCUCCAGGUGUUCUGUCUUAUGACAGUCUUACUUGGAACCCAGUUGCCAUGAUGUGAGAAAGCCCAAGCUGCAGGAAGAUGUCAUGUGGAGUUGUUCCAAUCAACUGUCCCUCGUGAGUCCAGCCUUUGAGUCAUCCAGCCCCAGUGCCAGACAGGCAAGUUGAAACUCAGAGGUGAAAGGACACGGCUUACAAUUGUCUCCAGCAACUGAAUCAAGAGCAGGAGGCAUCAGCGUUUAGAUCAAACAGCCAGAAGAAUCAGGUUUUUUAGAAACCAGAAAAACCUCUAUUACCCAAACCUCUAUUAACCAUCCUGAUGAGUUACUCAUUGCUUUGAAACAAAC